GAUCUUCUCAUCAGCUCUAUUACUGCUGGUGGCAGCUGCAUCAUGUGGUGUUUUCUGUGUUGAGCUCACUCAACCUUCAUCUAUGGUUGUGAAA